rnacentral:tRNA from 1 species
AGUACAGUCAACUAAAUAAGUUAUCAGGCCCAUACCCUGAGCAUGAGGGCUAAAGUCCCUCCUAUACUA